GUGCACCAGGCGCGAAACCUCCGCAAUGCGCGAAAGCGCGACGGGGUUACCCGAGUGCCGUCCGCUGAGGACGGCUUUGCCCAGUGUAGCCAGCUGGGCGAAUAAGGAGAGGGCAAGUCUGGUGUCAGCCGCCGCGGUAAUACCAGCUCUCCGAGUGGUGGGGACGCUUAUUGGGCCUAAAGCAUCCGUAGCCGGUCUGGCAAGUCCCUUGUUAAAUCCAACGAUUCAAUCGUUGGACUGCAAGGGGUACUGCCAGACUAGGGGGCGGGAGAGGCCGACGGUAUUCCCGGGGUAGGGUGAAAUCCUAUAAUCCCGGGAGGACCACCAGUGGCGAAGGCUGUCGGCUAGAACGCGCCCGACGGUGAGGGAUGAAAGCUGGGGGAGCGAACCGGAUUAGAUACCCGCGUAGU
rnacentral:rRNA from 1 species